UUCUACUAGCUUUUGUCUUCCUUUUCAUUAUAGAGUAUUUUGUAAGAGAGUGAGUGUUGGGAAACACUUGCGUGAACCCUUUCUUUCGAUUGAUCUUUUGAUGUUAUUCUCUAGUGGUAUUUGGGACUAAUUAGAGUAUUUGCUCUAAUUUUGUAUUCUCUUAUGUACUCUUGUUGGUAUAGUGAAAUUGCUUCUCUCUGCUUGUGGACGUAGGUUUCCUUGACUGAACCACGUUAAAUUUGUACAUUUUUUAAUCUGCUUUAAUUACAUUUAUUAUCAACUUGUAUUGUCUUUGUUAUUGUCAUUAUAACAUUAUUUGGCUAAAUUCCGCAUUAACCGAGUUUUCGAUCCUAACAUUGAUGAUAAGCCAGUGAUUUUUGUCAAUUACAAGGGUGAAGAAAGCAGUUUGACGCCGAGGAGAUCUCAUUUAUGGUGCUCAUAAAAAGAAGAAAGAAAUUGCUAGUUCCUGAACCACAUAUCGGUUUGUUCGAGUCUCACGAUUUUUCGAAGUUGUGGCUCCUCCACGUGUUCCAAAUAAUCCACUGAAUACAACCUAUGUAACAUAGGUUACAUCGAAGAUAGCCACUUUGAUCUGAGAACAGAUGAGAUUCUUCUAGGACGUCUUCUUCUUCAUUCCCUCUUCUCUAUUUGUAGGCAAAACUCCAUGAAAAUCAGAACUAAGAUGGGGUUCUUAUUCCCAACAUCCCCCUCAAGUUGGAGGGGAACUUUGUGACCCCUAACUUGGCCAAAAUCUCACGAUGAGAAUCCCCAGAAAGAGGCUUUGUGAAGAUGUCUGCUAGCUGAGCUUUAGUAGGGAUAAAAGAAAGAGUGAUUAAUCCCAAAAGAAAUUAUUAGCGCACAAAAUGACAGUCAAUUUUGACAUGUUUUGUGUGUUCAUGAAAAACGGGGUCAUGGGUGACGUGGCUUGUUGCUUGCUAUCAGAGUGAGAGGAAUUGGUAAAGUGACUGGUGCAGAGAGAUCCUCAAGUACUCGUACUAACCACUAAAUAGGAGCUUCUCCCAAUGUUAUGAAAAAACCACUAACGGACCUCCUUGAAUCCUUGCAAGACGCCUAAUCAGCGUUGUAAAAUGCUAGCAAGGAAAAUGAUGGUUCUGAUGAAAUGAGAAUACCUUGACCCAGAUUAGAGCUGAGGUAUUUGAGUACUCGUAAAGCAGCAAAGAAGUGAGAAACACAUGGUUUCUGCAUGUAUUGACUGAGGUGGGAUUUUGCAGAGGUUGUCCAUUAUCAGCUUGAAGCUUGGAGGAAGGAUCCAAAGGGGAGCUGACUCGAGGCAAAUGAGACACAUCAAACUUCUUCAACAUGUCUAAGGUUCAUGUGUGGCUAGCGGCUUAGUAGAAUAGCGGAAUGGUUGAUACGGGACUUAGGUGAGUUGCAUCUUGCGAGACGAUCCGCAGCCAGUAGAGUCUCCCUCAGAGUAAUGUACUGUAUUAUCUCAUUCUUGUCCAAUUGUAUUCCGGACAACUAUUGUACUUUAUUUCAUUCCCUAGUCAAUGCUCAUACACUUGUGACACCGG